rnacentral:misc_RNA from 1 species
CAUUUACCAUUUGUCUUGGUAUCUCAUAACCUUUAACUCUCUUUUUAGACUUACCAGCAUGCAUAAGAUAUCGGAAUAGCAAUGAGCAACAAUAUAAUAUAAUUAAUUUGAACAAUAAAGAUGAAUCAAAUAAUCAACAUAUUAUCCGAAGCAAAUUACAUUUUCAAAGGAUCAAAAAUUAAUUUAGAAGUAAAUCCAUGCCAUAUAUUGUAAAAAUCACUCACCUGAUCUCAUGAUACCAACUAGCA